ACGCUCCUACGGGGGGCAGCAGUGGGGAAUAUUGCGCAAUGGACGAAAGUCUGACGCAGCGACGCCGCGUGAGGGAUGAAGGUUUUCGGAUCGUAAACCUCUGUCAGGAGGGAAGAAAGCGCAUGGCGCCAAUCAGCCAUGCGUUGACGGUACCUCCAAAGGAAGCGCCGGCUAACUCCGUGCCAGCAGCCGCGGUAAUACGGAGGAUGCGAGCGUUAUCCGGAUUUAUUGGGUUUAAAGGGUGCGUAGGCGGAAUGCCAAGUCAGCGGUAAAAUCGCGGGGCUCAACCUCGCUCCGCCGUUGAA
rnacentral:rRNA from 1 species